GAAAUCAGUCUCAAAGAAGUUGACAGUGAACACUAGUCCAGGCCUUACUGACUUUAUUCUCAAAGUACUAUAAUCUUUGUUUUCAUAUAUUUGGAAUCGGUGAACACAAUGGAAAGCAUUGCUCUUAAGAUAGAGUAACCUCUGACAUUUGAGACUUUAAUGCAUAUGUUCAUGACAUAUUUGUUUCCAUGGCAGAUCAGUGGCUUGUUACUAGAAGGAUGUAGUUUUGAUGGAAAUCAACUUUCUGAAAAUCAGCUUGAUUCUCCCAGCGUGUCAUCAGUGCUCCCUUGUUUUAUGGGCUGGAUUCCACAGGAUGCAUGUGGUCCAUAUUCUCCGGAUGAGUGCAUCUCUUUGCCUGUUUACACAAGUGCUGAAAGGGAUCGUGUGGUUACCAAUAUUGAUGUUCCAUGUGGGGGCAACCAAGACCAAUGGAUUCAGUGUGGAGCAGCUCUAUUCCUAAAAAAUCAGUAGAAUCUAAUGACAACAAAAGCCAUCUUCACAAAAGGGAACAUUGAUUCUUUAAGCUUUAAAUCAAACAUGUGGUCAGUCUACAUUUGAAAUGUUAGUUCAAAAUAUUAACAUAUAGUUACCUUAUGUUGUUGAUGUCAUUGACAUUUUAAUGUGUAAAAGCAGCACUGUGCAUCUUUUAAAGUAAUAAAUUAACGGAGUUAUUGUUAAAACAGAGUAUUCUUCUGACAACAUUAAAUAUUUCUGUGAGGAAGUUCACUUUUCCAGUGGCUCAAAAAUUUGUUUUAGGUCAGAGAUUUUAAGUGGUAUAUUAAUCAAUAAUAAGUAUUUUGGCUGUCAUUUGUGUCAUAAUUAUUUAAUAAACGAGCAUUCAUAAUUUUUGCAGUCUUCCCAUGACUCUUUUUACAUACUGAAGAAUGUAUUAUAAAGUUAUAAUGAAUGUAUAAAAGUAUCAACAUGAAUAUAAUUAUACUAUGCUAAUUAUAAUA
rnacentral:sRNA from 1 species